GGCAGAGGCCCACACCCCAGCAGACCUCCUGGCUCCAGGUAAGCACUGGGCCAAGGUGUGUGCAUCUUCCUGCUCCUACCUGUGUCUGGAAGGUCAGCCCUGCAAGGCUAUUUGGAGCGCCUGCUGUGUGCGGAAUAGGAUGGGGCAGUGCCCCAGUACCCUGGUCCCAGCACUGCCUAGGGCUUUCCUGAGGCAUUGGGGGACUGUCCCUGCUGCCCCUAGACUCUGAAACUGUGGCAGCUGAGGGAGCUGUAAGAAUGGAGCCCUGUCCCAGGGUGAGGUGGAGGUCAGAGAUGGAACCCGACCCCCAGUGUGGGUGAGACCGAGCCUUCUCCCCCGAGCUGGGCAGGGAUGAAUCCGGCAGGCAAGGAAGCGGUGAGCUCCCAGCACAGCAACGAGCGGGCGGUAAAAGGAGAGCCUGGUGGGGGCUGCAGGGGCAGGACGCGUCCCGGAGGAGGGCACCGCGCAGGAGGGGCGGUGGCUGGGCGGGUGGGGAGAGGAUGGGAGGGAUUCCGGGACGUGGACCCUGCUCCUGGAGCGCCCCCUGCUGGACACCUGGCAGACUGCAGAGGUCGGUGUGGAACCCUUCUGACCCCAAUGUCUUCAUCAAUUCGAGCAUGUACUGGGCACCUGCUGUGUGCCUGGCCCCUCUGUCCUGGUUGCUGGGGCUGUACAGACAACCCUCCUGCCUUCGCCGGGCUGAUGUAGCUCAGUGCUGUCCAACUGAAAUAUAAUUUGAGCCACAAAUUUAAUCAGACACUUUCUAGUAGCCACAUCUGCAAAGCAAAAAGAUGAAAUUCAUCUUAAAUAUAUAUUUAGUUCAACAUGUAAUCAAAUAAAAACCAUUAAGAACAUGUCUUAUAUUCUUUUUCAUGUUACACCUUCCGUAUCUGGUGUGAGUUUUCUGCUUUUAGCACAUCUCAAUUUGGGCAGUCACAUUUGAGGGGCUCAGCAGCCACCUGUGGCUGGUGGCUGCC
rnacentral:lncRNA from 10 species